rnacentral:lncRNA from 1 species
CAAAAUCCACGAAAAAAUACACAAAAAAAGGAAGAUCGUCGGACCUAGGACAAAAGCUGACCGUCGUCUUUUUUCAAAAAAUUAGACUUCCCCCACCGUUCUAUUUUCUUCUUCAAACUAACAAAACACCCCAACCUUAAGGAGCUAACGAGAAAUCAACAAAAAGGGUACAAAAAAGGCCUAAGACCAUAAACACUGAAAAUCAAUCAACGCCUGCAAUUUGGAGAAAAGUUGACAGCCGCAGACAUGAGCUCACAGCAGCAGUAACGGUUUAGCCCCCUCUCCUGAUUUCUGAUUUUUAAAAUUAUGGAAUUCGGUCAAAUUUGAGGGUGGUCGGAGUUCGAUCGAGUCCGAGGUUGUCAUCUAGUUUGUUGUCAAGUUUCUCCGGUCAAAAUGGCGUCCGAUCUGGGUCAAGUCGGUUGUCAUCUUUAUUUUGGGUGUUGUAGCAGAGAUAAUUUUGAAUGAAAGUUCAGCAGUUUUUCUUCGCCAAAGUCUGCAAUUCGCAUCCGAUUUAGUUCGCAAUUUGGGGGUAUAUCACUGUUUCCAUUUUCUACUACUUUAUUAAAAGGAGUUUCAACUAAACAGGUUCAUGCUCACUUUCUCUUCUUAAUUCAAGCCACAUUCUUAUGUUUGAUUGUGUGUUCUAGUUGAGUUAUUUUGCUAAAAUCGCUAUAAUAUGAGACUUAUUAAUAGAGAAGAGCACCCGCUUAAAACAACUGAUGCAUGCUGAUUGGGAUUUGCUUAGGAAGAAUCUUUAGUUAAUUUCUUAAUAUUCAAGUAGUAAUUUGGUGGAAACAAUGAGCAAUAAACAUGGGAUACUGAUUCUGGUAUCGACUUGGAAUAAAAUAUUACAGCAAAAGCAUAGAAAAUUGAAGUAGUUGCAAGGGAUGACUUUGAUUUGUUUUGGUUAUGUCAUUUUUGGUGUGGAAGUUAAAUAGAAAAGUGAUAAAGGAAGAGUGAGAAGAGGAGGGCUGCUUAAUUUGGACAAGGAAAAGGCUAUGAGAUUUGGGAACCACGGGUACGGCUCCCGCGACAUAGUUGUGAUUUGUAGUUAAUAAAAUUCGGGGGUUCAUUUCAUGUAACCCGAUUAUAACAACUUCGAAUAAUCAAAUCCUUUGAAAUAAAUCGAGGCGCGCCAUUAAUUGAAUUUUCCAUGGUCCUCACAAACUUUGUUAUUAAUUUGAGCCCUCGUAGUUGCUUUAGGCGCGUUCUUUAAAUUAAUUUUCUUUUAAUUUAUUAAAUUCGGGUGUGCAUUUCAUGUGACCCAAUUUCAAUUCUUAACAACAUUAAAUAGAAUGUGUCGCGAACCGCGGGUGCAUUUUAUGUGGCGUGGUUCAAGGUAUGUUUUAAAUAACGUUGAAUCUUCCUAAAAAUAAUUAAAAGCGGUUAACAUGUUAAAAUGCACCAUAGGUUAAAACGUGUAUUAAAAUUAGAUAAUAGGCCAAUUUUAACAAUUUAAGUGACCGUGCUAGAACCACGGAACCCAGGAAUGCCUAACACCUUCUCCCGGGUUAAUAGAAUUCCUUAUCUAGAAUUUCUGGUUCGCAGACUUUAAAAAAUAAAAAUUUCCUCGAUUUGGAAUUUUAAAAUAAACAGGUGACUUGGAACACCAAAUAAACUAUUCCAAGUGGAGAAAGUGAUCAGGACAGUUUGGUCUAAUUUCAUCAAGUCGCGAUUGGGUUUUUGACGCGAAUCAUGAGUUAAUUAUUUAACGAGCGAAAUGGAUAUCGCACUGAGCAAACGAGCUCCGAAUUGAGUUUCAAUUGAAGGACUAUCUUCGUAUCAUUAUUUGUGACUCAUAGGAACAAGAAUCAUCAAAUUCCGAGUUCGUAUGGUGGAGUUAUAGCCUUUUUAGUGAAAAUAAAUAUUGUUGGUGCAACAGGAUCUGGUGCGCACCUUUAGCGACCAGAUUUGUCACUUUUAGCGACGAGAAUGGCUCUUUUAGCGACCAUAAUAGGUUUAUUAAAGCUAUUGCGUUUUUCUGCUCAUUUUGACCUUUUUUUUUGGUGAAGAACACGGCUUGGG